AUACUUUGACAAACGCUGCUUUUUUAUAAAGUAGAGGAAAGUCCAUGCUCACAAAAGCUGGAAUGCUUUUAGUGUUCGUGCUAGGGGAAAAAAUAACCCUAGGUAGCUUCGGCUAACGGCGAUGAAUAAUUCUAAGUCUUAGGAUAUGAAUUUAGUAGUUGUAAAGUGCCACAGUGACGAUUUUCUAUCGAAAGAUAGAAGUGAAACGAUGGUAAACCCCGCGAGUGAGAAACCCAAAUAAUGGUGGGGGAGCUUCGAUGGCUGGAAUCAUAACAGUCUCGGGGACUGAGAAAUCAGUAGAUAAAUGUUUGUCACCUAAUAAUCAGGUACAGAACAUGGCUUAUAAAG
rnacentral:RNase_P_RNA from 1 species